rnacentral:lncRNA from 1 species
CUUCACCCUGUGUCCUUACAUGGCCUUCUCUUUGUGCAAGUGGCCUUGGUAUCUCUUUCUUUUCUUAUAGGACAUCAGUCACAUUGGGUUAGGGCUCUAUUCUUAUGACCUCUCUGAGUCUUAAUUACUUGCCUAAAGCCCUAUUUCCAUAUACAGUUAUAAUUAGGGGGUAGGGCUUCGAUAUAUGAAUUUGGGGAGGACAUAAUACAGUAAUAAUGGAUAUCAAAGGAUAAUCUUUUAGGAUACUCCCUUUCUAAUCAGAGUGUGAUAUGCUGAAGUAGAAAUAAACUGAAUGCAAGGGCUCUCUAGCUUCAGACAAAUCACAUACAAGAACAAAGUACAACACUGGAGACCUUGAAGGAAAAGGAAAAAAAGAAGAAGAAGAAGAAGAAGAUUGUGUAAAGUAAACCAUCAACAAUGGUUUACAGAUGGACUUUAUCACACUGUUAGAAGCAAAGAUCUUUGCCAUUAUGGAGAUGACUUUUUCAGGGGUAAGUCUUAUUUGAUGAUACUGAAUUUUUUUCCCACUUUUCAAAACAGAGCAGGGCUCUAUUUAUGUAAAACAAUUACAAACAGACUAAAAAUAAAUAAUUUAAUCUUCUAGUUUUUUGUUCUUAUAACAACAAAUAAGGUGUUUGAUCAUCCUGUUCUCUGAGGAAGCAAGGAACCAAAAUAUCUCAGACCUUUG